rfam:Picea glauca, whole genome shotgun sequence.
GCAUGCCUACAACAUAGUGUUAAUGCAUUGGAUCCCAUAAGAACUCUAUAGUUAAGCGGGCACUCGAGCUAGAGUAGUACUGGGAUGGGUGACCUACUGGGAAGUACUAAUAUUUUACAUGCC